rnacentral:rRNA from 1 species
GACGAACGCUGGCGGCGUGCCUAAUACAUGCAAGUAGAACGCUGAAGAGAGGAGCUUGCUCUUCUUGGAUGAGUUGCGAACGGGUGAGUAACGCGUAGGUAACCUGCCUUGUAGCGGGGGAUAACUAUUGGAAACGAUAGCUAAUACCGCAUAACAAUGGAUGACUCAUGUCAUUUAUUUGAAAGGGGCAAAUGCUCCACUACAAGAUGGACCUGCGUUGUAUUAGCUAGUAGGUGAGGUAACGGCUCACCUAGGCGACGAUACAUAGCCGACCUGAGAGGGUGAUCGGCCACACUGGGACUGAGACACGGCCCAGACUCCUACGGGAGGCAGCAGUAGGGAAUCUUCGGCAAUGGGGGCAACCCUGACCGAGCAACGCUGCGUGAGUGAAGAAGGUUUUCGGAUCGUAAAGCUCUGUUGUAAGUCAAGAACGAGUGUGAGAGUGGAAAGUUCACACUGUGACGGUAGCUUACCAGAAAGGGACGGCUAACUACGUGCCAGCAGCCGCGGUAAUACGUAGGUCCCGAGCGUUGUCCGGAUUUAUUGGGCGUAAAGCGAGCGCAGGCGGUUUGAUAAGUCUGAAGUUAAAGGCUGUGGCUCAACCAUAGUUCGCUUUGGAAACUGUCAAGCUUGAGUGCAGAAGGGGGAGAGUGGAAUUCCAUGUGUAGCGGUGAAAUGCGUAGAUAUACGGAGGGACACCGGUGGCGAAAGCGGCUCUCUGGUCUGUAACUGACGCUGAGGCUCGAAAGCGUGGGGAGCGAACAGG